rnacentral:rRNA from 1 species
AGAGUUUGAUUAUGGCUCAGAUUGAACGCUGGCGGAAUGCUUUACACAUGCAAGUCGAACGAUGAACCUUAGCUUGCUAGGGGGAUUAGUGGCGGACGGGUGAGUAAUAUAUCGGAACGUGUCCAUUAAUGGGGGAUAACUAGCCGAAAGGUUGGCUAAUACCGCAUACGCCCUGAGGGGGAAAGCUGGGGAUCUUCGGACCUGGCGUUAAUGGAGCGGCCGAUAGCUGAUUAGCUAGUUGGUGGGGUAAAGGCCUACCAAGGCGACGAUCAGUAGCUGGUCUGAGAGGACGACCAGCCACACUGGGACUGAGACACGGCCCAGACUCCUACGGGAGGCAGCAGUGGGGAAUUUUGGACAAUGGGGGAAACCCUGAUCCAGCCAUUCCGCGUGAGUGAAGAAGGCCUUCGGGUUGUAAAGCUCUUUCGCAAGGGAAGAAAAGAUACAAGUUAAUAGCUUGUGUUGUUGACGGUACCUUGAUAAGAAGCACCGGCUAACUACGUGCCAGCAGCCGCGGUAAUACGUAGGGUGCGAGCGUUAAUCGGAAUUACUGGGCGUAAAGCGUGCGCAGGCUGUUUGGCAAGUCAGAUGUGAAAUCCCCGAGCUCAACUUGGGAACUGCGUUUGAAACUGCCAGACUAGAAUAGGUCAGAGGGGGGUAGAAUUCCACGUGUAGCAGUGAAAUGCGUAGAGAUGUGGAGGAAUACCAAUGGCGAAGGCAGCCCCCUGGGAUCAUAUUGACGCUCAUGCACGAAAGCGUGGGGAGCGAACAGGAUUAGAUACCCUGGUAGUCCACGCCCUAAGCGAUGUCAACUAGUUGUUGGUGGAGUAAAAUCCAUGAGUAACGUAGCUAACGCGUGAAGUUGACCGCCUGGGGAGUACGGUCGCAAGAUUAAAACUCAAAUGAAUUGACGG